rnacentral:rRNA from 1 species
UACGGAGGGUGCAAGCGUUGUCCGGAUUUAUUGGGUUUAAAGGGUGCGUAGGCGGAGGUUUAAGUCUGGGGUGAAAGACGGUCGCUCAACGAUCGCAGUGCCUUGGAUACUGGACUUCUUGAGUACAGAUGAGGCUGAUGGAAUGGGUGGUGUAGCGGUGAAAUGCAUAGAUACCAUCCAGAACACCGAUUGCGAAGGCAGUCAGCUAAACUGGUACUGACGCUGAGGCACGAAAGCGUGGGGAUCAAACAGG